rnacentral:rRNA from 1 species
UACGAAGGGGGCUAGCGUUGUCCGGAGUUACUGGGCGUAAAGGGCGCGUAGGCGGUUUCUUACGUUUCCACGUGAAAGCCCCUGGCUCAACCAGGGAGGGUCGUGGGAAACGGGAAACUGGAGGCAGCGAGAGGCUGGUGGAAUUCCCGGAGUAGUGGUGAAAUGCGUAGAUAUCUGGAGGAACACCGGUGGCGAAGGCGGCAUCCUGGACCGGCAUUGACGCUGAGGCGCGAAAGCCAGGGGAGCAAACGGGG